CUUACUUUUAACUUCAUCUACAAUAGCGUGUACUUUAUUUUAUUUUAUUUUUUUUCAAAAAGAAAUCAUUCAUUUUGCAUCCCUUUAUAGGUACUUACUGACUUGUAGCAUGAGUGACAAUGGGUGAGAAUGGAAAUCCCAUUCAGAGCCACUGAGGAGAGUAUUUGGUUAGGCUUACUAACUUGCUAAGUCCUUCCUGUCUGCCAGCCUGAUAGUGACCAUUGUUCAUAUCUUCAUCCUAGCAAAAUUGCAGAUUACUGCUUGGAAGAGACCUUCAGGAAAGUACAUUAAAUAUUAAAUCUUGUCUGCAAUUAUCUGUCAAAAAUUAGAGAAGUGUAAUAAAUCCUGCCACAUCUAUUGUGCUUCGAUGUGUAUCUCUUCUUUCCUCACUUGGGGCUGUAUCUAUUUUGAUGUCCUGUUUUCCAGCACAGAAUAUUAGGAAAUCCCACUUAAAGAAAAGGAGAUACCAUGCUUGGCAACCACAGGACACCUGAACCAUUCCAAGCAACUGGGAGCUGCUAGCUAAUACCAUCUAAUUAAGGGUCACCUUAGAAAGAAUUUUGAAAUAUGUGGAGAAUAAAGCUCAGAAAGACUAGGUGAGUAG
rnacentral:lncRNA from 1 species